GACGAACGCUGGCGGCGUGCUUAACACAUGCAAGUCGAACGGAAAGGCCCUGCUUUUGUGGGGUGCUCGAGUGGCGAACGGGUGAGUAACACGUGAGUAACCUGCCCUUGACUUUGGGAUAACUUCAGGAAACUGGGGCUAAUACCGGAUAGGAGCUCCUGCUGCAUGGUGGGGGUUGGAAAGUUUCGGCGGUUGGGGAUGGACUCGCGGCUUAUCAGCUUGUUGGUGGGGUAGUGGCUUACCAAGGCUUUGACGGGUAGCCGGCCUGAGAGGGUGACCGGCCACAAUGGGACUGAGGGACGGCCCAGACUCCUACGGGAGGCAGCAGUGGGGAAUAUUGCACAAUGGGCGGAAGCCUGAUGCAGCAACGCCGCGUGCGGGAUGACGGCCUUCGAGUUGUAAACCGCUUUCGCCUGUGACGAAGCGUGAGUGACGGUAAUGGGUAAAGAAGCACCGGCUAACUACGUG
rnacentral:rRNA from 1 species